rnacentral:rRNA from 1 species
CCUACGGGUGGCUGCAGUGAGGAAUAUUGGUCAAUGGACGCGAGUCUGAACCAGCCAAGUAGCGUGAAGGAUGACUGCCCUAUGGGUUGUAAACUUCUUUUAUCUGGGAAUAAAAUGUUCCACGUGUGGGAUUUUGUAGGUACCUUAUGAAUAAGCAUCGGCUAACGCCGUGCCAGCAUCCGCGGUAAUACGGAGGAUCCGAGCGUUAUCCGGAUUUAUUGGGUGUAAAGGGAGCGGAGGUGGAUUGUUAAGUCAGUUGUGAAAGUUUGCGGCUCAACCGUCGAAUUGCAGUUGAAACUGGCAGUCUUGAGUACAGGAGAGGUAGGCGGAAUGCGUGGUGUAGCGGUGAAAUGCUUAGAUAUCACGAAGAACUCCGAUUGCGAAGGCAGUACACUGGACUGCAACUGACGCUGAGGCUCGAAAGUGUGGGUAUCAAACAGGAUUAGAUACCCGAGUAGUC